rnacentral:rRNA from 1 species
GGAGUUUGGGCCGUGUCUCAGUCCCAAUGUGGCCGUUCAUCCUCUCAGACCGGCUACCGAUCGUCGGCUUGGUGCGCUUUUAUCACACCAACUACCUAAUCGGACGCAGGCUCCUCGCAAAGCGAUAAAUCUUUAGUACAGAAUCCAUGCGAACUCCGCACAACAUCCGGUAUUAGCGUCCCUUUCGGGACGUUGUCCCCGACUUUGCGGCAGAUUACCUGCGCUUUACUCACCCGUUCGCCACUAGCACCGAAGUGCCCGUUCGACUUGCAUGUGUUAAGCACGCCGCCAGCGUUCGUCCUGAGCCACUGAUCAAACUCU